AUAUCUCCAGCUCUUCAUUUCAAUUAAAUUGAAUACAUAACAGCAGCACAAUAUCUACUCAGUUGCUGCAGUUGUAACUGCAAUCCUUUUUAUUAUCAAGCAAAACAGAUGAGGUAGUCUCCACAUCCUAUGCAGGUUGGCCUCCUUUGUGUCAGACCAGUUGUUUAACAUCAAAUCAAAACCCAUCAACAAGCACUGCACAUUCUCAAAGGAAAUUCCGGAUAUCCAAAGAUUUCACAUCCACCGUUGCCUCGUCCUUGAAUUCUUCCCUCUUCUUUUGGGCUUCCAUGGCCUCAAGAGCAUCUUUCUUCAGCUCCUCUAAUUGUGCUUUGGCAAUUUUGAGUUCUAACUCUUCUUCAUACUUUGGAAGAUCUUCCUUGCGAAUUCCAAGCUUCUUAUUAAUUUUAUCAAACUCUGUCAUUAGAAGAGCCAUUCCUUUCUU
rnacentral:misc_RNA from 1 species